rnacentral:tRNA from 1 species
UGGCUCAGUUGGUAGAGCAUGGUGUUUGCAACGCCAGGGUUGUGGGUUCGCUUCCCGC